GGAUGACUCUAUUGCUUGGCCCUCCAGGCUGUGGGAAAUCCACUUUAUUACAGGCGCUUGCAGGGAAACCUAACCAUUCUCUCAAGGUCAAGGAGCGGGUACCACUAGCAAGGACACAAAAAACAUCGGCAAAGAUCAAGCAAGGUCGCAUGUUUCUUCAGAUUGUACUCUCAAGUACAUAAUAGAACACCCAUAACCUAUAUGUGAGUUCAGGUAAAAGUUGGCAUCAAACAUAAUAUGAAGAUAUUUAAAAGGCCACAGCAUGGAUCACUGACCAUUUAUCUUUUGCAAUCAACAAAGACAAUUCUAAUCUAGGAUGCUCUCUGUUAAUCUAGAAUGUUUUACAUUUUAGGACGGUGAUGAUAAAUUGUUGGUUAAAUUAAGUUGUUUUUAUACAGUAUUGUUGUCGGCAUAUUAAUUUACAUUUUGUAAUGUGAUAUUGCAAUUUGUUAUCUCUA